rnacentral:rRNA from 1 species
AGCGAACGCUGGCGGCAGGCUUAACACAUGCAAGUCGAGCGCCCCGCAAGGGGAGCGGCAGACGGGUGAGUAACACGUGGGAACGUGCCUUUUGGUUCGGAACAACCCAGGGAAACUUGGGCUAAUACCGGAUAAGCCCUUACGGGGAAAGAUUUAUCGCCAAAAGAUCGGCCCGCGUCUGAUUAGCCAGUUGGUGGGGUAAUGGCCCACCAAGGCUACGAUCAGUAGCUGGUCUGAGAGGAUGAUCAGCCACAUUGGGACUGAGACACGGCCCAAACUCCUACGGGAGGCAGCAGUGGGGAAUAUUGGACAACGGGGGCAACCCUGAUCCAGCCAUGCCGCGUGAGUGAUGAAGGCCUUAGGGUUGUAAAGCUCUUUUAGCAGGGAAGAUAAUGACGGUACCUGCAGAAAAAGCCCCGGCUAACUUCGUGCCAGCCGCCGCAGUAAUAC